AUGCCGAGGAAAGAGCGGCGGUCAGGUGUGGCAUACAUCCAUAAUGACAAAGACCGUGAUCUCACCUUCUACAAGCGACGUUCCGGUUUGUUCAAGAGGGUGACUGACAUCUCUGCCCUCGCUAGGGCUAGGGUUGCGGUCGUCCUAGAAACAAACAAUGGAAAGAUGCACUCAUUUGGGACGCCAUUGGCCGAUCCCAUUGUUGAUGCUUUCCUAUUUGGAGCUCCACCAGCAGUUCCCUCCGCUGACGAGGCAACCACUGCUAGGAUUGGAAGCCUACAAAACGAGGUGGCUCAGUUGGACAUGGAGAACAUGACCGAGGAAGACAAAACCCAACUUUCCAUCCUUCGUAUGAAAAAUAUACAAGAAGAGAACCCAGGUAUGGUGGCAAAUCUUAUCUUCACGAAGGAAAAAGAUCUCGGUCUUGAAGAUCUGAACAAGCUCUUCAGUGAGCUCUCUCGGGUCCAAAAAGACAUUAGAUGCCAGCUACCUCCAUUGCAUGGUCGUGAAGCCAAGACCAGUGGCACAUGUGUGGCACAAGAUCUGCAACUACCAAUUGUUCCGCCGACGGAUCAUUUGGGUACUACUCAUUCACUAAUGCAGUCAUCGUGGCCUCACAAUCUCUCACAACUCCAGCCACCUACAGAUCCACUACCAGCACAACCAGAACAAACUUCGGCACCACUUUUUCCUAUGCAGGUACCACAAAUGUUUGAUUUUGCACCACCAUCUUUAGCUCCACACUUGGCUUCCCAUGUCCAACCCAUACCAAAUCAGGUACAUGAGCAAACUCAACUAGAGGAGUUGCAUGUUCAGAACUAUGAAAGUCCUUGCAACAUAGUGCAAACACAACAAAGUGAUGCAAACCAUGACUCAACAUCGGGGCAGAAUUUGGAGGCCUCUCCACUAUUGGGGUACUCGAGUGGCAAUGCUUUUUCUAUUGAUGACCCAUUUAACAGUGAACAAUGGGAUUAUUCUCUAUCAGACCAGUCGUUCUACAAUAGUUUCCUAGGGAUUGAUGAUUACUUAGGCUCUAGCGGUACCGAUCUAGGACAGUCUGCCAUGGUAAAUGGUGGAUGGUUUGAUGUGCCGCCCUCUUCCACUGGGCAAGAUAUUGAU
rnacentral:rRNA from 1 species